CAACUACUCCCUUUGUCCCAAAUUUUUUGUCUUAGAUUUGUCUAGAUACGGAUGUAUCUAGUACUAAAAUGUGACUUGAUACAUCCGUAUCUAGACAAAUCUAAGACAAGAAUUUUGGGUCGGAGGGAGUACUUU
rfam:Triticum aestivum genome assembly, contig: Triticum_aestivum_CS42_TGACv1_scaffold_230176_3B